rnacentral:sRNA from 1 species
GACCAUCCCUUAGGGGAUCAAGGCCAUACGGACAGCCGGGUCGACUGCCGA